UAUGGGGACUUUAGUUCUUAUGGAGACAUUUUGAGUGGUCAAGUGCCGCUGGAAAAUCUAAGCCAGCAAUUUAAUCAAGCUUACAAUGAAAAUUGGAACUAUUCUCAAAACUCGCCAGUGGUACCAAAUAUGGAUGUUGGUCAAUCCUCUCAGUUCGGUGGAGUUGAUCAUUCUCCACACCAUGACAGUGCUUAUGAACGACAGAGGAUGAAUGCACUUGAUAAUGAAGAUUUUCCUAAUUAUUAUGAGUCAUCAUCAAGUGAUGACGAUGAAAUAGCUAAUAAUGCAGAGGUAACCGAUGAUGAAGAUGAU